rnacentral:lncRNA from 1 species
CAAAAUUUAGAUCCAAAAUUCUAACACACCUAAAAAUCCAAUAAAAAAAAACUAAGUAGUGAGUAAAACCACCCUAUCAGCCACAUUAACUUUCUUCUCAACAAUUUUCGACGAGCUAUACCUUUAUUAUUGGUCCUGGCUUAUGAAAAAAGAAGAUAAAGAUGGAUACCACAUUUUAGGCAUUUGUACCAAUUAUAAUCGAGAAGAAAAGCAAAGAAAAAUAAGUAAGUUGAUAAAAAAGAUGUAAUAUCUUGACAUCUCAAACUUCAACUCCACCACAAAAACAUUAUCUAGAUAAAAGGAGGUUGCUCAGAAGUAUAUCAUAUAUCUAGCUUGAGUCGACUAAACAUCUAUAGCAGCCCCAUCAUUUAUAACCCAACAGAAAGGCUUGAGACAGACUAAAAUGGCAAGCAAGAUAAAGAUAACUACUGACCUUGAGUGUAAAACCUUGCUGCUAGCAUGGUAUAACAACACUUUGGUUGAUCACUGCUUCAACUUUGGGAUGUGUUCUGGAAGAGCAACUUGAAAUUUUUUUUCUUGCUGUUCAAAGAGUUAAAGCCUUUCUCUUGAAAUUUUAGUUUAGUCAUUAAGGCUAAUAAUGCCCUCGAUGAAGAUUUUUCUUUCAAGUCUCUCGAGAAGAACUCCAUUCUAGUAUAACAAUCUGCACAAAAACGACACGUUUUAAACAACAGAAUGUGAUAUGGGGCUCUAAUUGAUAGGAACAAAACUAAGCAAUAAAUUGCGUCAAAACUAGCGAGAUCAAAAACAUGGAUGGAAAUGUAUAACUCAGACGUGUUAAAGCCAAAUACAAUUAUAGCCCACAAUUUAACAGUUUCCUUGGAUAAAUGAUAUGAAAGGGAAAGAGGGUAAGAUGCAAACUGUUAACCAUUAACAAUUACUAAAUGUAAA